UACGGAGGGUGCAAGCGUUGUCCGGAAUCAUUGGGCGUAAAGCGCGCGUAGGUGGCCUCAUAAGUCCGCUGUGAAAGUCAAAGGCUCAACCUUUGAAAGCCGGUGGAUACUGUGAGGCUAGAGUACGGAAGAGGCGAGUGGAAUUCCUGGUGUAGCAGUGAAAUGCGUAGAUAUCAAGAGGAACACCAGUGGCGAAGGCGAGUCCCUGGACAACUUCUGACGCUGAGGCACGAAAGCUAGGGGAGCAAACAGG
rnacentral:rRNA from 1 species